rnacentral:rRNA from 1 species
AUUAAACGCUGGCGGCAGGCCUAACACAUGCAAGUCGGACGGUAGCACAGAGAGCUUGCUCUCGGGUGACGAGUGGCGGACGGGUGAGUAAUGUCUGGGGAUCUGCCCGAUAGAGGGGGAUAACCACUGGAAACGGUGGCUAAUACCGCAUAACGUCGCAAGACCAAAGAGGGGGACCUUCGGGCCUCUCACUAUCGGAUGAACCCAGAUGGGAUUAGCUAGUAGGCGGGGUAACGGCCCACCUAGGCGACGAUCCCUAGCUGGUCUGAGAGGAUGACCAGCCACACUGGAACUGAGACACGGGCCAGAGUCCUACGGGAGGCAGCAGUGGGGAAUAUUGAACAAUGGGCGCAAGCCUGAUGCAGCCAUGCCGCGUGUAUGAAGAAGGCCUUCGGGUUGUAAAGUACUUUCAGCGGGGAGGAAGGCGAUAAGGUUAAUAACCUUGUCGACUGACGUUACCCGCAGAAGAAGCACCGGCUAACUCCGUGCCAGCCGCCGCCGUAA